rnacentral:rRNA from 1 species
UACGGGGGGGGCAAGCGUUGUUCGGAAUUACUGGGCGUAAAGGGCUCGUAGGCGGCCAACUAAGUCGGACGUGAAAUCCCCAGGCUCAACCUGGGAACUGCGUCCGAUACUGGAUGGCUUGAAUUCGGGAGAGGGAUGCAGAAUUCCAGGUGUAGCGGUGAAAUGCGUAGAUAUCUGGAGGAAUACCGGUGGCGAAGGCGGCAUCCUGGACCGACAUUGACGCUGAGGCACGAAAGCGUGGGGAGCAAACAGG